UCGGGAAUUUUGCGCAAUGGACGAAAGUCUGACGCAGCAACGCCGCGUGAGGGAUGACGGCCUUCGGGUUGUAAACCUCUUUUGUCAGGGACGAUGAUGACGGUACCUGACGAAUAAGCCACGGCUAACUACGUGCCAGCAGCCGCGGUAAUACGUAGGUGGCAAGCGUUGUCCGGAUUUACUGGGCGUAAAGAGCGCGCAGGCGGUCGUUCAAGUCGCGUGUGAAAGCCCCCGGCUCAACUGGGGAGGGUCACGCGAUACUGAUCGACUCGAAGGCAGGAGAGGGUAGUGGAAUUCCCGGUGUAGUGGUGAAAUGCGUAGAUAUCGGGAGGAACACCAGUGGCGAAGGCGACUACCUGGCCUGUUCUUGACGCUGAGGGCGCGAAAGCUAGGGGGAGCAAACGGGGAUUAGAUACCCCGGUAGUCCUAGCCGUAAACGAUGGACACUAGGUGUUGGUGGUAUCAACCCCGCCAGUGCCGAAGCUAACGCAUUAAG
rnacentral:rRNA from 1 species